rnacentral:rRNA from 1 species
UAAGCGGAGGAAAAGAAACCAACUCGGAUUCCCCUAGUAACGGCGAGUGAAGCGGGAAGAGCUCAUGUUGUAAAUCUGGAUGAGGGUUCCUCGUCCCGAAUUGUAGUCUAGAGAUGCGUGCUCAGCUACUCUCCAGGGCUAAGUCUGUUUGUGAAAGACAGUGUCAUGGACGGUGAUAACCCGGUUCUUGCCUUGGAUGUUGUAGCGUUUUGAGCCGUCCUCAACGAGUCGAGUUGCUUGGGAUUGCAGCUCUAAGUGGGUGGUAAAUUCCAUCUAAAGCUAAAUAUUGGUGGGAGACCGAUAGCGAACAAGUACCGUGAGGGAAAGAUGAAAAGAACUUUGAAAAGAGAGUUAAAUAGUACCUGAAACUGCUGAAAGGGAAGCGAAUGAAGUCAGUGUUGCUCUUUGUGCUCUGCAUCCUCCCUGCGGGGAUUGUGUAUCGAGGACUUUGAGCUUGUCAGGAUGAGUUCUCUGCCGCGGGAUAUGUUUUGUAUGCUGGAUGCUUUUUGCGGAACAUACAUUCUCUGUCGUGGCUUGGACUGAGGUUCCAUCUUGCCGUUGCCUGUGCGUUCCUCUCCCGUUGCUGUCUCUGUUCUACUGCUUGCAGUGCUCAGUUGCAGUAGUUGGACUGUGCGUAUUAUGCAUGCAAGGUCAGGAUCCUGACGAAAUGGCUUUAUUUACCCCGUCUUGAAACACGGACCAAGGAGUCUAACAUACGUGCGAGUACUUUGGUGACAAACCAAUGUGCGCAAUGAAAGUAAAGGCUGGCUUCCGUCAGCUCAGGUGGGAUCCGUUUGGAGCACCAUCGACCGACCAUUAUGCCUUCGGGCUAAAGGUUUGAGUGUGAGCAUUUAUGUUGGGACCCGAAAGAUGGUGAA